GGAGAAGUUCCGGAGCGGUUUAACGGAGCAAUCUACUAAAUUGCCAAGCUCGCAAGAGCUUCGUGGGUUCGAAUCCCACCUUCUCCG
rfam:Candidatus Yanofskybacteria bacterium RIFCSPHIGHO2_01_FTLL_41_21 rifcsphigho2_01_scaffold_1627, whole genome shotgun sequence.